GUGCUUACCUGGCAGGGGAGACACCCUAAUCAAGAAGGUGGUUUUCCCAGGGUGAGGUUCAUCCAUUGCACUCCAGAUAUACUGACUCCUGUGAUUUCCCCAAAUUUGGAAAUUUAACUCAUAAUUUGUGGAGUGGGGGACUGCAUUUAUACUCUUUCCUU
ensembl:snRNA U1 U1 spliceosomal RNA